GAUGAACGCUAGCGGCAGGCUUAAUACAUGCAAGUCGAGGGGCAGCAGGACGGUAGCAAUACCGUUGCUGGCGACCGGCAAACGGGUGCGGAACACGUAUGCAACCUACCCAUAACUGGGGGAUAGCCCGGGGAAACCCGGAUUAAUACCUCGUAACCUUAUGAAGUGGCAUCGCUUUAUAAGUAUAGCUCCGGCGGUUAUGGAUGGGCGUGUGCCUGAUUAGGUAGUUGGCGGGGUAACGGCCCACCAAGCCUGCGAUCAGUAACUGGUGUGAGAGCACGACCAGUCACACGGGCACUGAGACACGGGCCCGACUCCUACGGGAGGCAGCAGUAAGGAAUAUUGGUCAAUGGACGCAAGUCUGAACCAGCCAUGCCGCGUGAAGGAUGAAGGUCCUCUGGAUUGUAAACUUCUUUUAUAGGGGAAGAAAUCUGAAUAUUCCUAUUCAGUUGACGGUACCCUAGGAAUAAGCACCGGCUAACUCCGUGCCAGCCGCCGCAGUAAGAC
rnacentral:rRNA from 1 species